GUCUCCCCUUCCCUUUCAAUGUCUCUGUUUUUAACAUAAUGGAAAAAGAGGAAGGAAGGAAGGAAGGAAGGAAGGAAGGAAGGAAGGAAGGUAGGAAGGAAGGAAAGAAGGAAGGGUGGCUGGUUGGUUAAGGAAGGAAAGAAAAUAAAGACCAAUGGGACUGAUAGAUUAAUCAUGCAGGCACUGAGCCCCAACGAUAACCUUGGCAGAAAUUAAAAAAAACAACCCUGUUCUCCCAGCUCUGAAAUUCAGUUGGACAGAUUCUCUCUCUCCAGAAUUUUGCAGGCAGAAUGAUUUAAAAACAAAACAAAAAUGAAUGAUUUGUUUUGCUUUGUAGCAUGUUCCAGAAUGAAUCAAGCUUGUGGACUAGACCUGCAGUUGUUCUGGAGGCUUAUAUGGUAUUCCUGCUUAGGUCAACAAGUGCUUGCUGGGGCAGGAAAUGCCAUCUGGACACAGGGCCUUUGAGUCUUGAGGAAAGAGACAGUGCCUGCACCUGAAGUUGCAUGUUUGUCUGGAUUCCUCAUAAGGUCUGCAUGGGGCUCAGUAACAUCAGAGAUUUUGAAGACUCCCACACGUAGAACUUUAUUUCCCUUCACGAGGAAGACAAACAGCACCUAGUGAAACUUCUACGACCAGCUCUUUAUGUGUCUGGACACUAAAUGCUUUCCCUAGUGUACUUUACUCCUUCUUGAUUGUUCAUUCUCAAUAAAGGGUACUUUUCCCCCCUCAUUUCUCAGC